GAUGAACGCUGGCGGCGUGCCUAAUACAUGCAAGUCGAGCGAACGGACGAGAAGCUUGCUUCUCUGAUGUUAGCGGCGGACGGGUGAGUAACACGUGGAUAACCUACCUAUAAGACUGGGAUAACUUCGGGAAACCGGAGCUAAUACCGGAUAAUAUUUUGAACCGCAUGGUUUAAAAGUGAAAGACGGUCUUGCUGUCACUUAUAGAUGGAUCCGCGCUGCAGUAGCUAGUUGGUAAGGUAACGGCUUACCAAGGCAACGAUGCAUAGCCGACCUGAGAGGGUGAUCGGCCACACUGGAACUGAGACACGGUCCAGACUCCUACGGGAGGCAGCAGUAGGGAAGCUUCCGCAAUGGGCGAAAGCCUGACGGAGCAACGCCGCGUGAGUGAUGAAGGUCUUCGGAUCGUAAAACUCUGUUAUUAGGGAAGAACAUAUGUGUAAGUAACUGUGCACAUCUUGACGGUACCUAAUCAGAAAGCCACGGCUAACUACGUG
rnacentral:rRNA from 1 species